rnacentral:rRNA from 1 species
UACGUAGGGGCCUAGCGUUGUCCGGAAUUAUUGGGCGUAAAGAGCUCGUAGGCGGUUCGGCAAGUCGGAUGUGAAAUCUCCACGCUUAACGUGGAGGGGCCAUUCGAAACUGCUGUGACUCGAGUCCGGUAGGGGAGUGUGGAAUUCCCGGUGUAGCGGUGAAAUGCGUAGAGAUCGGGAGGAACACCAGUGGCGAAGGCGGCCCUCUGGGCCGGGCCUGACGCUGAGACGCGAGGGCGUGGGGAGCGAACGGG